CGGCCCGCGGGGGCGGGGGCGGCCUGGGGAGGCGUGAGCGCGGGGCUGGGAGAACUCCAGACGCUCCGCGGGCCGGCUGCUUGAGGGCGGCUUUUAGGAUCACUUGCUGAGAGCAGAGAAGAGUGAGAGGACCAGUUAUCAGUGUUAAGCUGUCUGCUCUCGCUCCAGAAGGCACUUGUGUGUUCUGCUUACCUACACGGUCAUGGUCAAGCCCCUGAUAUCUGGAGGUCGCAGGCCUGCUGGUGGUUGUGGCUGCUUGAAAUCCUCCUUUACUGCCUACUUUUUGGGAAGCACAAGUAGAGGGAGAGGAUGAAAGAGAAGCAGGAUCUGCGCUGAGCAGGGAGCCAGAUGCAGGGCUGGAUCCCAGGACCCUGGACAGAUGCUGCACUGAGGGAGCCACCCAGACACCCUUUUAGACCUAGGAUGCAGGGAAGACCUGCUUAUCAGAGCAGCUUGAUUUGGAAUCCGUCUCCCCUGGAGGUCAGAGCUUCUGACCAUCAUGUCCCCAGCCUCAGCACUGGGGAUACCU